CUGUUUAUUCUGGAGCAGCAGCAGUUGACAGACGGAGAGGCAGUGACUCUGCACCCAGCAAUCCCUCUGCAGACAGCUCCCACAGGAGUCAUGCCCAGCUCUGGGCAUCAUCAGCGGCCCCAGGGAAAAAGAAAGAAAUGGGAAACAGCAUGAAAUCCACCCCUGCGCCUGCCGAGAGGCCCCUGCCCAACCCGGAGGGACUGGAUAGCGACUUCCUUGCCGUGCUAAGUGACUACCCGUCUCCUGACAUUAGCCCCCCGAUAUUCCGCCGAGGGGAGAAACUGCGUGUGAUUUCUGAUGAAGGGGGCUGGUGGAAAGCUAUUUCUCUUAGCACUGGUCGUGAGAGUUACAUCCCUGGAAUAUGUGUGGCCAGAGUUUACCAUGGCUGGCUGUUUGAGGGCCUGGGCAGAGACAAGGCCGAGGAGCUGCUGCAGCUGCCAGACACAAAGGUCGGCUCCUUCAUGAUCAGAGAGAGUGAGACCAAGAAAGGUGAGUGGCCCCUAACUCAUCUUUCCCCGUCCGGGGCAGACAAGCAUGUUUUGCUCCUGGCUGACUCAUUACAUGGCUUCAUUUUCCUUCCUCCUACGUCCAUGCAAAUUGAUCCAAUGUAGUUAAGCUCCCUGCAGCCCACACGCUGCUGGGGAGGCCAGUGGGGAAGCAAGGGGACUAGAGACAGGCAGUGGGGAGCCGGCUGGGCACUGCCACGGGCCUGGCCAACAUCAGGCCUGAUGACUCCUGCUGGAAAUUUUUCCAGCAACUGAGAACAAAACUGAACGCAGUGUGUAGGCAGCAUGCUGUGCAGAUAGAAUGUGGCCUUUGGUAUGGGCCUGGGCUGUGCUCUCAAUCUCUGUGACUGAUUUGUCUGAACUCAGUUUUCUCAUCUGUGAAAUGGAGAGAACACCUCUCCCUUGUAAGGGUGUGGUGAGAUUCAAAUGUCAUAAUAUUUGUGUUGCUCUUGCUGCACAGACAGUCCCGAUAUCAGUUUCCUCUGUGCUCCGUAACUAAAUCAGACAGCUCAGAGAAUCACAUGUGUCCUCUCACACAGUCACCGUCAUCACUAGCAUUACAAUUUCCUUGCAUCAUAUGCAUUAAGUACCACAGUAAAAACACAAAUAGAGUGAGCUCUUUGUCAUGAUUCAAAGCAAGGGUCCCAAGUUCCAAUUUUAGCCUUACAAAUUACCAAGUUACUGCUUCUCUCUCUAAGCCUCAGCU
rnacentral:sRNA from 1 species